rnacentral:rRNA from 1 species
UACGUAGGGUGCAAGCGUUGUCCGGAAUUAUUGGGCGUAAAGAGCUCGUAGGCGGUUUGUCGCGUCUGCUGUGAAAACGCGGGGCUCAACUCCGCGCCUGCAGUGGGUACGGGCAGACUAGAGUGCAGUAGGGGAGACUGGAAUUCCUGGUGUAGCGGUGGAAUGCGCAGAUAGUCAGGAGGAACACCGGUGGCGAAGGCGGGUCUCUGGGCCGUAACUGACGCUGGAGGAGCGAAAGCCGUGGGGAGCGAACAGG